AUUGAACGCUGGCGGCAGGCCUAACACAUGCAAGUCGAGCGGAAGAAGGGCGCUUGCUCCUGGCUUCAGCGGCACGCGGGUGUGUAAUGCCUAGGAGUCUGCCUGGUAGUGGGGGAUCACGUCCGGAGACGGGCGCUAACACCGCAUGCGCUAUGAGUGAGAACGUGGGGGCUCUUCGCACCUCACGCUUUCAGCUGCGCCUAGGUCGGAUUAGCUAGUUGGUGGGAUAAAGGCCUACCAAGGCGACGAUCCGUAACUGGUCUGAGAGGAUGAUCAGUCACACUGGAACUGAGACACGGCCCAGACUCCUACGGGAGGCAGCAGUGGGGAAUUUUGGACAAUGGGCGAAAGCCUGAUCCAGCAAUGCCGCGUGUAGGAUGAAGGGCUUCGGAUUGUAAAGUGCUUUUAGUUGGGACGAAGGGGAUUAAGUUAAUACCUGGCGGUCUUGACGGUACCAACAGAAUAAGCACCGGCUAACUUCGUG
rnacentral:rRNA from 1 species